AUGUGGCCGUUCAAUGCCGAAAGAAGGGGUCUCUCCCAACUUGGCAGCCUUGAUUCACCCUUGAUUCAGGUGAGCCAUGGAGUCAGGGCUUGGCUUCUACAGAAAUGGUACCUCAGGUGAAGAACUUCGCUUCAGGAUGAGGACAGAAAUCGUGCUCUGGUGGCAGCGGGAGGCCCCAUUAGCUAAAGUGACGUUUCAGGUUAAGAACAGUUUCAGGUUAAGAACGGACCUCCAGAACGCAUUAAGUUCUUAACCCGACGUACCACUUUACUGCUAAAGCCCAGAUGCCUCACACCACAGAACUGGGCUAUGCCUGAUUAUCGUCUCCCAAAGCAACUUGUUGUUGUUUAGUCGAUUAGUUAUGUCUGCCUCUUCGUGACCCCAGUGAGCAGUGAGAAAAGGUGCAGGCCUCGGCAAAGGGUUAGAACCACGGAAUUGCAGAGUUGGAAGGGAUCCCAAGGGUCAUCUAGACCAACCCCCUGCAAUGCAGGAAUCUCAGCUGAAGCAGCCCUGACAUAGGGCCGCCCAACCUCUGCUUUAAAACUUCCAAAGAAGGCACCUUUUAUCAUAUGUGGUGGACGUGUAAGGUAACAAAAGCAUUCUGGGAAAUGAUAUAUAAUGAAUUGAAAAAAAUAUGUUUAAAAUAACUUUUGUUAAAAAAACCACAAGCUUCUUUAUUAGUAAUUGAAGUUACCAAGAUCCCAAAGGAGCAGAAAAGACUUUUUAUGUACGCAGCGACACCCAGACGGAUGUUCCUAGCCCAGAGAUGGAAAGAAGACAAAGUCCCUACAAGAGAAGAAUGGCAAACUAAGCUGUUGGACUAAACCGAAAUGGCAAAACUGACUGGAAAACUCAGGAACCAAGAAGACCAAAGCUUUAAUACAGUGGUACCUCUGGAUGCAAAUGGUAUCCAUUUCAGAGCCCUGUUCGCAUCCUGAAGUGAACGUAACAUGUGACUGCAUGUAUGUGAGUGUGCGGGUCGCGUUUCGCCGCUUCCGCACAUGCGCGUGACGUCAUUUUGAGCAUCUGCGCAUGCGUGAGUGGCGAAACCCGGAAGUAACGCAUUCCGUUACUUCAGUGUCGCCGCGGAACACAACCCAAAAAUGCUUAACCUGAAGCGUAUUCAUCCCGAGGUAUGACUGUAAAGAAUGGGAAAAAAUUAUAACUUACUUGAGAGACCACUGUAAGAAGAUGAAAACAUCAGGAGGAUUGCAAUAACACUUGUAACGUAGAAGAUACUACAGAUAAAACGGAGAGACGUAAAAUUUGGAUGAUGAAAUAAUAUGCAGUUGAAAAAGUUUAUAAUAGGACCCAUGGAGGGGAAGGUGUGAAGUCUUAGAGAUUCGGAGAAAUCUCUAAAUAUGGAUAUUCAUUUUGCAUUGUUAUAACUCUACACUUGCAAAACCAAAUACAAAUUAUUUCCAAAAAAAGACUUCCAAGGAAGGAGAGUUCACUGCCUCUCGUAGGAGUCCGUUCCCCUGUCAAACAGCUCUUGCUGCCAGAAAGUUCUUCUUGGCAUUGAGUUGGAAUCUCCUUUCUUGUAGCUUGAAGAGCGUCUGGAUUCUGGCCUCAAGACAGGCCCUUCCAAGAGAUCAGACUGGCAGCACUGACGAAGAAGAGCGAUGCCAGUCUGCCCGGGGAAUGGGCAUUGUGUCAUUACUGCAGGGACCAAAGCAGACUCAUUUGAGCUGUGUGACAGUAACUGGAAACUGGAGACAGAUUCGCUUGUCUCCAUGGAGACCGCACACUUACAAAACUGAGUGCGAUCAAACAGCUGCUACCCAGACAGCCUUGCAGGAGGAAGCGAAAAGUUUCAAACUGCAUGUGUGUCGCUUGAGAAGACUCCACUGGGCAUCGCGAAAGUCUCUCGCCUUCCCAGAAACGAACACCUGUUUCAUUUUCCUAAAACCAAGCAAAACCCCCGAUACACUGAUUAAGUUUGCUUGAGAAAAUGGAAUUUAUUUAUUUUUUUAGACAGGAUGUCUAGAAAUGUCUUUAAAUAUUCUUCCAUCCUUUAUGGGAGGGGUGGUUCUAGGUUCAGACUGCAACCCAAUCCAUCUAGGGCAUAUCGUCAAGUUAGCAUUUGUAAACACAGCAAAUUAGACGUUUGCAUUAGGAGGCGUGAAGCCAGCUUUCAGAGCAAAGCAGUGCAAUCUUGCACUGAGCCAACCUGGUAGACUUAACGGGUUUUAUUUACAGAUUUAAGGUCCGUAUAGUUAAAGCCAUGGUUUUCCCAGUAGUGAUAUAUGGAUGUGAGAGCUGGACCAUAAAGAAGGCUGAUCGCCAAAGAAUUGAUGCUUUUGAAUUAUGGUGCUGGAGGAGACUCUUGAGAGUCCCAUGGACUGCAAGAAGAUCAAACCUAUCCAUUCUGAAGGAAAUCAGCCCUGAGUGCUCACUGGAAGGACAGCUGAGGCUCCAAUCCUUUGGCCACCUCAUGAGAAGAGAAGACUCCCUGGAAAAGACCCUGAUGUUGGGAAAGAUGGAGGGCACAAGGAGAAGGGGACGACAGAGGACGAGAUGGUUGGACGGUGUUCUCGAAGCUACAAACAUGAGUCUGACCAAACCGUGGGAGGCAGUGGAAGACAGGAGUGCCUGGCGUGCUCUGGUCCAGGGGGUCACGAAGAGUCGGACACGACUAAAUGACUAAACAACAACAAUUUACAGAUUUAUGUCAAGAACAGAAUUGUACAGUCAGGAAGGGACCCCGAGGUUCAUCAAGUCCAUCCCUCUGCAAGUCCCAAGAUCGCAACACUCUUCGAGAACUCCUGCAUUAAGAAAAUGCCACCGUUUAUUUGAAUUGGUGUCAAAAUGGAACAGAUUGAUUGACAGCCUCUGUGGCUAUGGUCAAGUGAUUUCCCAAGAGCCAGAAAUAAAUGUAAAGAUGCCAUGCUGAUUGAAAUAAGGCUCUUCUAGUAUCUUCCUCAUCAUUUAGUGGCUCUCUCCGUUCUUGCCUAUAAUCCGAUUAAAAAUAUUCAUGCUUGUUCCCUUAUGGUGCUACUCCGUGCUAGCUUACUCGAGAGCAAGUCCCAUCAAGUUCAAGCGAGCUUUUUCUUGCGUGAGUCUGUACAGAUUUGCAGCCGAACAGCCCAGGAACUCUGGCCCUCCAGUUGCUGUUGAACUACAACGCCCAUCAUACUUUUUACAAAGCAGUUUUACAAUCAAUUUAAUAUUUCGAAGUUUGACUUCCUGCAGUUCCUUAAAUUUACUUUUUAAUAUCUUCUGUAUAUCCAAAUUCAUUUAAUUCGCUCAUUUAAUUAUCCACUUUAAAUAUAUACUCUCGUUAAACUGCAGGUUAUUACAAUAAUCCUGCCAAUGUUUUUACCUGUUUGCAAUUUAUCUGUUAAUAUUCAAGAAACCAUUUCCAUUCUUUUAUAAAAAGUUUGUUAUCAUGAUUUCUUAUUCUUCCGGGAAGUUUUGUCAUUUCUGCAUCAUCCAUAAGUUUUUGUAUCCAUUCUUCCUUUGCUGGAACUUCUUCUUCUUUCCAAUUUGGGGCAAGUUGCAUUCUUGCCGCUGUAGUAGCAUGUUGUUGUUUAGUCGCUUAGUCGUGUCCGACUCUUCGUGACCCCCUGGACCAGAGCACGUCAGGCAAUUCUGUCUUCCACUGCCUCGGUGGCAAUUCUGUCUUCCACUGCCUCCCGCAGUUUGGUCAAACUCAUGCUGGUAGCUUCGAGAACACUGUCCCACCAUCUCGUCCUCUGUCGUCCCCUUCUCCUUGUGCCCUCCAUCUUUCCCAACAUCAGGGUCUUUUCCAGGGAGUCUUCUCUUCUCAUGAGGUGGCCAAAGUCUUGGAGCCUCAGCUUCAGGAUCUGUCCUUCCAGUGAGCACUCAGGGCUGAUUUCCUUCAGAAUGGAGAGGUUUGAUCUUCUUGCAGUCCAUGGGACUCUCAAGAGUCUCCUCCAGCACCAGAAUUCAAAAGCAUCCAUUCUUUGGUGAUCAGCCUUCUUUAUGGUCCUGCUCUCACUUCCAUACAUGACUACUGGGAAAACCAUAGCUUUUACUAUACGGACCUUUGUUGGCAAGGUGAUGUCUCUACUUUUUAAGAUGCUGUCUAAAAAAGUAGAGACAUCACCUUGCCAACAUGAAUAAAUUUCCAUACAAUUUAGUUAGUUCUGUCCUUGUAAUUCCCAAAAGAAAAGCUUCUGGUUGUUGUUGUUUUACAAAAGUUAUUUUGAACAUCCUUUUCAAUUCAUUGCACAGUGCUUAGCACAUGUCUGGAGUAAAAAAAUUUCUUGUAGCCAUAGCUCUAGAAGUCAGAAUCUGUGAGAAGAAUUCAUUAGGAUGUGUACAGAAGCUAGGAGGGGAUAUAUUUAUUUGAUAUUAUCCUCCCUCCUUCACAUUUGUGUGUUCAGCAGAGUGCCACCCCUUUGCAGCUUAAAAAGGAAGUUUAGGCUGAUUUUAGCCUUUUGGUUUAAGUAAUCCAGGAUGCUUUAAGGCUGGAUUCUCCUGGUGUCGCCCCCUUUUCUCCCCCUUAUAACAAGAUAAACACACAAACAGUCUUGUAAAAGGCAAAAAUCACAUUUACACACUGGUGAAAGUAACAAAUACAGCAGAUUUGUUCCGGAGCAGGCUUAAAAAUGCUAAUUCAGUGAAAAAGACAUGCUUAAGUCUGGAGCUCAGACUUAGCAGGUGAUCUGUAUUGCUGAAUGAGGGCAAACAGGAAAGAGGAGGUGAGGAGAUAAUAUUUGGUUAUGCCCUCCCCAUGGUGGAAUCUAGGUAAAGGUAAAGGGACCCCUGACCACUAGGUCCAGUCGUGGCCGACUCCGGGGUUGCGGCGCUCAUCUCGCUAUAUUGGCCGAGGGAGCCGGCGUACAGCUUCCGGGUCAUGUGGCCAGCAGGACUAAGCCGCUUCUGGCAAACCAGAGCAGCGCAUGGAAACGCCGUUUACCUUCCCGCCGGAGUGGUACCUAUUUAUCUACUUGCACUUUGACGUGCUUUCAACCCGCUAGGUUGGCAGGAGCAGGGACCAAGCAAAGGGAGCUCACCCGGUCGCGGGGAUUCGAACUGCCGACCUUCUGAUCGGCAAGUCCUAGGCUCUGUGGUUUAACCAUCACUGUCUUCACUUGCUCACGGAGGAGCCGGUGUACAGCUUCCGGGUCAUGUGGCCAGCAGGACUAAGCCGCUUCUGGCAAACCAGAGCAGCGCAUGGAAACGCCGUUUACCUUCCCGCCGGAGUGGUACCUAUUUAUCUACUUGCACUUUGAUCUGCUUUUGAACUGCUAGGUGGGCAGGAGCUGGGACAGAGCAACGGGAGCUCACCCCGUCGCGGGGAUUCGAACCACCGACCUUCUGAUCGGCAAGUCCUAGGGUCUGUGGUUUAACCCACAGCGCCACCUGCGUCUCUAUGGUGGAAUCUAGACACAUAUAAAAAAACCGCUGUGAAAAUGGUGUGGUUUUUUUAAGCAUUCUGAAAAAUAUAUUGAAUUUGCCAUAAGCACACCAUCGCCAUCUAGUGUCACAUUCGUAUACUGCGCUCAAAAUGCACUGAAAACAUUAUAUUUGCAGCUGUAUAGCAGAGUCCCAUGUCAGGGCACAGUGGAAGUAGCACUCAAAGUUCUCUCUAGCAAACUUACAGGAAAACUCUGUGAGCUUCAGUUCAUAUCAUGUGCCUAUCAAGCAAACAUGCAUUGCUGGUUUGACUGCAUUGUAAAUAUCUCGCAGUCCCUUCUCAGGCAAAACUACUUACAUUCAAAUACACUUUCUUUUUUCCUUUUUUCCCCUUUUUUAAAAUUGGUAAAUACAACAUUCACAAACACAAAACGAAACACAAAACAAACCUAUUAUACAUACAGCUACUUAAUACCUAAAAAAAGAAUACAAUUAAACAUACAAUAACCAACAAAUAUCAACUUAAAACACAAAAGAAACAAAACAUGAAGACAUAAAUCUUGACUUCCUUCCACCCAUGUGUGACUUCCUUUAUUUCUUUUCUUCUUUUUUGCUGUGUUAUCAAUAUUAUUUUUAACUAUCUCCUCUUAUACCCAUUUCUUCUUUGUUUUUUACUCUAUAAAUUUCAUUCAAAUACACUUUCAUUAAAGCACCCAGAAGUUCUCUUGGUAGAGGUUUUGGCACUAUCUCUGCACACAUCUCUUUGUUGCGGCAAUAAGCCAACUCCUCAAAUCAGUCUUGGAUCACAAAGUGAUAUUUCACCCUGAUGACGGCAUUGUAAAUAUCCCAUAGAAUUAACAACAAUAAUUUAAAACAUUCAAAGGGUUAAAAUAACAACAGACUAAAAACAGGCUAAGGGACGCAGGUGGCGCUGUGGGUUAAACCACAGAGCCUAGGAUUUGCUGAUCAGAAGGUCGGCGGUCUGAAUCCCCGCGACGGGGUGAGCUCCUGUUGCUCAGUCCCUGCUCCUGCCAACCUAGCAGUUCAAAAGCAAGUCAAAGUGCAAGUAGAUAAAUAGGUACCGCUCUGGUGGGAAGGUAAACGGCGUUUCCCUGCGCUGCUCUGGUUCGCCAGAAGCGGCUUAGUCAUGCUGGCCACAUGACCCAGAAGCUGUAUGCCGGCUCCCUCGGCCAGUAAAGUGAGAUGAGCGCCGCAACCCCAGAGUCGGUCACGACUCGACCUAAUGGUCAGGGGUCCCUUUACCUUUACCUAAAAACAGGCUAAAACUCCCAUCAACUUUCUUUUUUUUUCUUUUUAAAAGAAAAGGAUAGGCUUGACUAAACAAAAAUGUUUUUAGCAGGUCCCGGAAAUAGUGCCGUGAAGACGCCUGCAUGUUAUCAACUGGCAGGGAGUUCCGAAGUGUAAAAGUGCCACCACAGUAAAUGAUUGAUUUCUUACAGAUAUGGAAUGGAUACCAGAGCCAGUUCUGCAGAUCAAAGCAGCUGAGAGGGCAGAUAUGGGGUAAGACGAUUAUUUGGGUUCAAAAAGAAGAAUGGCAGACGAAAAUAAUGGACUAUGCAAAAUUGGACAAAACGACAGGAAAGAUUCGAAACCUGCGGGACCAGAGAUUGACAGAAGAUUGGAAGAAGUAUACAAACUAUUUGAAGAGCAACUGUAAUCAACAAAUUAUGCUAGUAGAACUACAAGAGGUUUUGUAGGGAGAAAUAUAUGAAGUGCUACAAAGUAGAUAAAGAACAGAGAUAUUGGUUAUGAGUUUUAAAUGUAACAGGGAAAAUAAGAAAUGUAUACUAAGAGAUUAGAUUGGAAAAUGUUCAGACUGGACUGAUGGAAGUCAAAAUAUUGAAUAAGAU